rnacentral:tRNA from 17 species
GGCUGGUUAGCUUAGUUGGUAGAGCUCCCUGGGUCCCUUCAUAAGCAAUUUUGAAGGGCCUUCCAAUAGGUUUAGGUACUGAAUCUAUUGGAAGGGGAUGUGAGGUUCGAGUCCUCGCCAGCCACCA